rnacentral:rRNA from 1 species
AACGAACGCUGGCGGCAGGCCUAACACAUGCAAGUCGAGCGCCCAGCAAUGGGAGCGGCGGACGGGUGAGUAACACGUGGGAAUAUGCCUUUCGGUUCGGAACAACUCGGGGAAACCCGUGCUAAUUCCGGAUACGCCCUUACGGGGAAAGGAUUUAUCGCCGAAAGAUUAGCCCGCGUCCGAUUAGCUAGUUGGUGAGGUAAUGGCUCACCAAGGCACCGAUCGGUAGCUGGUUUGAGAGAACGACCAGCCACACUGGGACUGAGACACGGCCCAGACUCCUAC